AACGAACGCUGGCGGCAGGCCUAACACAUGCAAGUCGAGCGCGCACUUCGGGGUGAGCGGCGGACGGGUGAGUACCGCGUGGGAACGUGCCCUUUUCUACGGAAUAGCCUCGGGAAACUGAGAGUAAUACCGUAUACGCUCUUUGGGGGUAAGAUCUAUCGGAAAAGGAUCGGCUCGCGUUGGAUUAGGUAGUUGGGGGGGUAAUGGUCUACCAAGCCGACGAUGCUUAGCUGGUUUGAGAGGAUGAUCGGCCACACUGGGACUGAGACACGGGCCAGACUCCUACGGGAGGGAGCAGUGGGGAAUCUUAGACAGUGGGGGCAACCCGGAUCGAGCCAUGCCGCGUGAGUGAUGAAGGCCUUAGGGUUGUAAAGCUCUUUCAGCUGUGAAGAUAAUGACGGUACCAGCAGAAGAAGCCCCGGCUAACUCCGUG
rnacentral:rRNA from 1 species